GUGCUUGCUUCGGCAGCACAUAUACUAAAAUUGGAAUGAUACAAGAAGAUUAGCAUGGCCCCUGCACAAGGAUGACAUGCAAAUUCAUGAAGCAUUCCAUAUUUUA
rnacentral:snRNA from 1 species